rnacentral:lncRNA from 1 species
CCACAAUCAUGUACAUAUUUCUUCUAUUUGUUUGUUUUUUUUAUUUGUUUUUCAAGAGGAAGAGUUCUCUUAAUAAAAGAUGGGUUGAUCUUUUUUUUCUUUUGUAAUUUUUUGCAUAGCAGAUGAUGUUAUCCGGAGGAAAUACUGGACCUACGCUUAUGGAACCGGAGAGGUUGAGUAAUAAUAUUGGAGGUGGAGGAGAAGAAGAAGGCAUGUCAUCUGAAUCUGCUAUCUCCACCACCUGCAAUAGUGCUCUCAGUCUCUCUCCCUCUCUUGGAGAUGACUCCGACGACGUCACUUUAUCUCUCAAACUGGGGUGAGCUAGCCUACUUUUGCUUUGCUAUAUAUUUCCUAUUUAUAUACAUAUCUAUAUAUAUGUAUAUUAUUUAUGUUGCGUAUGUCUCUUUGCUUUUUAAGUUUUGAUAAGAUGAGAAUUCAGAGAAGAUAUGCUUGCUUUAUUUAGAAAAAUGAAUACCACAGGGUGUCGUGUAACAAAGAUAUUUUCCCUUCCUGGUGCGGAGAGAAGAUAUGUUUGCUUUUAGAUUUAUUUCUCUACUUGUCAACUUGAUUCUGCGUUUCAUUUUCAACUCUAGCAAACCAAAGCGUUGGAUUUUUUGUCGACAAUAUUUUUUUAUGAUAGAAAUGUCAAGUCAUCAUGAAUUCUAGAUACUUGUACAAAGCCAGGUGCACGAUGAGAGUUUUUUUCCCAUCUGCUUCAAUGUGGUGUAAGUGCUCGUUUGGGCCCAACUUUUUCACCUCAUUGGGGCCCAAAGUUUUGGGCUUGCUUCGAUUGAAGAUGUUUUAGGGUUUGUAGAGCAAGUUUCUUUUGAGGUCUGUCUUUGGGGCCAUUUCAUUUUUUGUGCUUAUUUAAAUUGAAAGAAGUUAGUGACUUCCACCGAAAUUUCUCUCCCUCGACUAAAAUACGAGAGAAAAUGUAUUCCACUCUCCCUCGACUAAAAUAGCAUAACCUGCACGAGGCAUGUACAACUUAAAAGUUAAAACAUCUCCACCAACGUAUCUUGAUGCGCAGUUGCAUUCAUGGUAUUUUAAUUAUCCUUCACCAUUUUAAUAAAUUUGCUUAUCGUUUUACUAUGAAUUUCAGGCUUUCCUAAUUUCUCUGGUUAAGAAGUGGAGAACGAUAAGAGUUUACUCUCCUUGUAGCUAAAUAAAGAAAGUCGAGGUAUUAUAAGAUAUCAGUGAUUGUGUGUGUUAACUCGACUUUGUUUUGUAUCUAAACCUAUGUAUUACGUCCAGCCUGACAAAUUGCGCUUUGACUUGUAUUGUAUUUAGAACUUUGUAUCAAAAUAGUCUGCAUGGAGACUCUUGUGGAUUUUGUAUUGCUUCAAUGUCACAGCACAGGAUAACGUUACGAAAGGAUUAUGAGGUCUUGUUUGGUUGGUGGGUCAGUGUCAUAGACAUUAUUUAUUUAGACUAUUACAACUCAUGUCACGAAACUUAAACUAGACAAAAAGAAGGUAACCAAAUCAAUUUUGAAUGAUUACCUGCAUAUUUCCUAAAGAUUACAUAAUAGUAUAUUCGCGAGAUUCGUAUUUUUUUCGUGGAUUAAAUGCGUAGAAGUCGACAGGGGGAAGAUAAAGACAAAGCCAAGUGUCGCAUGGUGACAUGACAGCGCAUGACCUGUGUCAAAGGAGUUAAAAGCCCCUGCAUAAAUAUCUUUUUUUGUGUUCUUUUUCUUUUUUGGUAGCCUGACACGUAAUAAGAAUUAAACCGACAACUUUUUAAAACAAACUAAACUUAGAUGUAAGACGCCACAUUUUCUAUUCCCACGUUACAAAAUCAACGGUGGAGAUUGCAUUCAUCAACGUCGAGAGCAUCUGUGCCCGUCGAUUCGCUCAGGUUUGUUAACUUGUUUGCCCAGAGGAUACCCAAAGUAAAGCACAGGAUAAUAGAAAAAUAUAUUUUUUUCCAUAAAAGGGAAAAUUCAAUUUAAAUCCUUUCCUUUCUUGAACAGCCAGCCAUUUCUCUCUCUCGUUCUCCUAGUUUUUCUGUACGCACAACUUCAGACCCUGAAGGCCCCAAAAGAAGGUAAACGUUAAACGAAGAGGAAAACCCAUAAAUUAAUUAAUUAGGGUUCUUCUCCUCCUCUUCUUCUUCUUCUUUGUGCUCUGGUGCUCUGGUGCUCUGGUGCUCUGGUGCUCUAGUGCUCUAGGCAUGUUGUUGUGAACUAUUGACCUAUUUCGGUUGGUGGGUUUUUCCGGGUUUUGUUCACAUAGAUCUGGGGGCCAUUAAAUGUUUAAAAUUUAUAGAAGAAACCCAGAAAAUAUUUUGUAGUUUUUGAGUGUAUGAACAUAAUAAUAUAUGUGAAAAGUGGUUGGUUUGAAUUUUUUUGAAGGGAGAUGGUGAAAAUGAUGAGGGAGAAGAUCAAGAUCAAGAAGAUUGACUACCUGCCAGCAAGGCAGGUGACCUUCUCAAAGAGGAGAAGAGGGAUCUUCAAGAAAGCUGCAGAGCUAUCUGUUCUGUGUGAAUCUGAGGUGGCAGUUGUCAUCUUUUCUGCUACUGGCAAGCUUUUUGAUUAUUCAAGCUCAAGGUACCAGCAACACCCACCCCUAUACCUUAUAAUUCUUUUGACUUUUCCUUCCUUGAAAAAAUAACCAAUAUGUAUGAUCAUGGUGUCUCUGAAGUCUGAUGACUUGACUUCUCUCUAUGUGGGAGAGGGAGAGGGAGAGAUUCUGAGAUUCAGUCAUUUGGGUAGAAAUAUAUUUAGAGGAGAGGGAGGGUGCCUUUCUGGAAAUUCCCUGUCCUUCCUGAAAUUCCGUGGUUUGAACUGAGCUCACAGACAUUAUUUAUUGUGUCUAAACUUCCGAAAGAAAAAAAGGAGAAUCCAGAAGCUUAGAGAGAGAGAGAGAGAGAGUCAGUCUUGUAGAUGAUACUUUUAGAUAUUACUUUUUUGGGGUCGAUUUUUACUUUUAGAUAUACUCUGUCUCAAAGGCAACUAGUUCGAGGGUUACUACCUUGUAUAUAUACCACUCCAAGAAAAUAGUCUAUUUUUGAUAAAGAAAACUUCUAGUUAGGUGUCCCAGUUUGAGAAACAUUAUUUUUUUAGUUUUCCAUGUUUUUCAUGCAAGAUGUGGUGUAUAUAUGGUGAUGUUCUUUUUUACGUGCAAUCAAUUUUGUUUACCAUAUGCUAAACUCUGUAUAUCUUGUUCGGUAACUGGUUUUCAUAUAUACUCGCAUAGUUUAGUAUGUUGCUGCUUCAAUAUCAUGUCCCACCUAACACAUAUUGGUAAUAGAUAAUAUAUGAAAUCUUAGGUCGCGCUUAUACAGUGAAGAAUAUCCCUGUCCAAGGAGCUAAAAUUAAUGGUUCCCUUAUGAGAGAUACGGUAUGUUAGAUCAUCAGUCGAAUCAUACACUCAAACAACAAUACAGAUCACCAAUUUUAGAUUCAUAGUCUGACCACAUAAAAUGAUAAAUUUGCUAAUAAAAUAGCAUUUUACUCUUUACCAUAUAUAUACAUCUAUUUGUAUAUAUAUUAUCCUUUGAACUUAAGAUAGUGGCGGGUUGUGUUUGAAAAGGUGUCAAUUCAUUUUCCCCACCUAAACUACAAAAUGCCAGUUUGGCCAAGGGGAAAGUAGCACCCAACUCCUUAUAAGCUUUCGUUAGGUUUCUCAACUUCCAAAAAUUAUUGUGGGACAUUUCUUCACAUUCUCACACGCCCCCUCACGUGUGGCGACAUUUCAAGCCUAACACGUGGACAUCACAUUAGGUGACGUAGAGCAAGUGUGGACAUUGGGCUUCACACGUGAACAAACCCGCUAUGAUACCAUAAAGGAAGUUGAGGUUUCACCCCAAAAUCAAUUGGCCAAUAGGAGGAGUAACCCAACUCCUUAUAAGGCCGUGCUAAGUUUCUCUAACUUUCCAAUGUGGGACAUUUCUUCACAUUCUCACAGUUACAUUGAAUUAUGUGAUUUGUAGUUUUCUUACUAGGAAUAAAGUGAUAUGAUGAUAACUUGGGAAUUCAUCAUAGAAGCCUUGAAGACUUUCAGCAGGAAUAUGCAUGCAUGCUUUCCAAUAAGGCAAUGGGUGGUGGAGCCAUGACCAUUACAUGUUUUUGCCAUGAUUGCAUGAAAGAUUUUGUUAAAACCUAGUUUCAUACUUAGAUGUGCAUGCAUGAGAGGGAGGGUGAGAAUGAAAUGUUAACUAUGGAAUACGAAUUUAAAUAAGGUCAUGUGCUUCCUUUCAGUUAACAAAAAUAAUUGCACAUUGUAAGCGCUGGUCAUUUAUAUUUAAUUAAAAAAAACCUAGAAAUACUACCUCUAAGGUGGUCUUCUUUAACCCAAAAUACACUCCAUAUAUAAAAAGAAUACUCUUAUAUGGCGAUGGUUUUUUUUAUAAAAAUAUUCUGUAUUGUGUGCACGAAUUAACAAUUUUUUUUUUUAAUUUAAAAAAAGUUAUCAUCUAAAAGCUACAUCUAUUUGCGUUGGUUAUUAUCGAACAACAUUAAAAGACAGAGAAAUCAAAACUGUAAGUAACAAACACGUACUAAUGGAGGUCUUUAAUUCUUUAUGUCAGAGUGCAAUUUCUAAUCAAUUUCCGUUGUAAAUUUAAUUUAAAUGUUAAUUUUCUAGGUUUCUGGGCCUAAUUUGUCUACUUUUUUUAUUUUUUCUAUUUUUAAAAGUUUUUCUAAUUGUAUUUCUAUUAAAGCUCUCGAUAUUGCAUUCCAUGUUUCCAUUUGUGCAUGUGUACUUGCAACCAAUGCAUAAGCCAUAAAACGAUCUUGCAUUGAAACUAAAGAAGAUUUUGCUUUGCAUUAUUUUUCAAACUUUUCCAAGUUUCCAAGUAGAGCAAUGUGUCAAACGUUUCCAAGUAAAGGUUCCAUGAGACUCAUCCAUUCUUAAUGCACGGGGCAGAGGUUGAAGUCUAAAACCUAUACAUGACCUAGCCCGAAGCGGAUAGCUUUUCUUAAGGUUUUUAAGGGUUUAGUAAUGAUUCAUCUUUGCAUGGUAGCCUACCAAACCUAACAAUAUAUUCAAAGCAUAUUAGUCGACUUGAUGGUCUCAGAGUUGACGUCAGAGGAACUGUGACUAAGAUUUUUGAGGCCCACUUCUUAUCAGUUGACUUGAUACGUGGGUUUGCUUUGCUUUGUGUUCGAAAAUAUCUCAGCUGCUAUUGAAGGAAUUUGACUUGACGUUUUCAUUUGCGAUAUGUGAUUUGUGUGUUUUAAAGCCAAGCUGAUAUUUUUUUUAUUUUUUAUUUUUUUGGUUUGGGGGGAGGGGGUUCUUAGCUUAUUGCAUGCAUGUGUAGUUUGGUUACUGUUGAUAUUACUUUUUGUAAUAAAUUCUAAUGAAAUAGGUAAUAUAUUCUUUGUACUUGGUUUCUCUUGAGAUGAUUAGUCCCUUUCUUGGGUCUGCAAUAUAUAAUUGGAGGAAAUCAAAUUUUGGGUCUGCAGAAAAUUGGAAAUCAAAGUUUGCAUUAUAAUUGAAACUGAAAUUUCUCUGAUAUCUGGUUAUGUUAGUUAUAGAAACCAAAGUCAGAAAAUAAUUCAAUCAAAAGCCAUGCACACAUAUCAUACAAUGAUAUCAUUUAUUAGUCUUAUACAAAAAAAAUAAAAAUAAAUAAACAUGAGUGUAUCUCUGUGUUUGCAAACCAGAAGUUUGAAUAAUGGGGGUUAAAUUCUUUUCCAUGUUUUUGUUUCUCAUGUAUGCUUAGUCACGUUAAUUUUUCUGUCUAAUAAUUUACUAGUGAACAUGCCAAUUGAUUGUUUUUUUUAAUCCUUUUCUGUUGUGAAGUAUCAAGGAUGUUAUUGAAAGGUACGAAGUGCGCACAAAUGGUGUCGAAAAAUCGGAUGAACAGUCUCUUGAGCUGCAGGUAAAUGAGUUCAAUGAUUUUCCCUUUCCCCCUUUUAAUUGUUCUGCAAUUAAUUGUAACAUACUCUGUGAUCUGCACUUUGGAGCUUCAAAAUGUAUCUCUAUAGCAUCCGACGGUUCUGAUUGUUUGAACAUAGAUAAAAAAAGCAUUGUCAGACUCAUGUAUAUGCAUGCAGCAGGGUCGGCCUCUUGGGCUAAAUAUAUAUAGGUGGCUUUGAUAAGUCCCAACUCUAGUGGGACUUCAUCUGGUGUACAUAAAGAAUUAGCCAAUGAAAAAUUGGAACAUAGAAUCAUCAUCAAAUAUCAAUUAUUAUUUACUUUUACCGUUGGUUGUUUUCCAAGCGUUCCUUUUUUUCAUUUUUAAUUAUGCUAAAGGUAGAGUGUGAAGUAUUGUAACCAUUUGAGUUACAAAUUCAUUGUUUUUCAAACUUUAGUUUUAGGGGCAUGCAGCUGAUUUAAUUUCUUAUGAUAGUUGAGUUGGAGACUUCUAUUGAAUCGAUAUUACAGCCUCCUAGAGUAUCAGUUUUUUCUCCCUAAUUUUAAUAACUUAUUGGUUUAGAAAAAAGAAAAGGAACGAUUUUACUUUUUUGUUUUGAAAUGAGUGAUUUUCUGUCCAAAAUGUAGUACGAUUUUACUAUUAUGUUUUGACAAUAUUGAUUAGGGGUGGGAGGCCAUAGGCUUAAGUACAUCAGUUAAAGGUAACCAAUAACCGUAGCUCUCACGCAGCUGAAAACAGAGACCAACCGCACUCGCAUCUAGGCUCUCACACCGCAAUCACAUUAAGGGGAGGAGCUCCACCCCCCUUCUAACGUCCUCGUUGGCCCACUCUAUCUACACUGACUCGGUGGUAGCCUUUUACUUUCUUUGAGGCGGCUUCACUCAACUAUCAGUAUUCAGUGAUCAAUAUCAUGCCCAUACAUAACACCGAUCAUCUUAAUCCAAUGUAUAGGUCACCCCUUUUGUGGAAUUGGGCCCAGUUGCGUGGUGAACUCAGGCUUUGAUACCAAAUGUUAAGAACUCAUGGGUAGAAUUUGCCCUUAAAAACCGGCUUGUAAGGAAAGGAUGCCCUUGAACUCUUAAACCAUUCUAUAGGAUAUGCUCUUUUUCCAAUGUGGGAUCUUGAGUCCUAACAGACGGCUAAUCUUUGCCCCCCUCUAUUUUAAGCCCCUAUGUCUCUCAUCUCCUCUAAUUUCCCUUCUCCUCCUCUCAUCCCCUCACCCACACACCAGUUCCUUUCUCUCCCCCUUCCAUGAGAUUUGAAACCCUAAAAUCCUCCUCUCCCCUUACGAUUUUCUUAGUCUAUUGGCUUGUUGCAGCUGCUUCUCCCUCCAACCCACCCUCAUAUCUGGCUUUUGCUAUGGACGUGUGGUGGACUAUGUCAUUUAAUGGUCAAUUUUGACCCCCCCUGGAUCACUUGAGUAUGAUGAAUGUUGGUGGCUUGCUCCUCCAAAUCCAUGCUAUACAAAUCCUUGUUGGUUUCUUUGGACAUUCUCCUUCUAACAGCGGCGGCGGCGGCGUCGAUUCUGUUUUUCUGUUUUGGGCCUAGAAUUGGGCUUUUAUUUUCUUUUAUUGGUUGAGCCCUUGUUUCUCUCUUUUUGACUUUGUAUUGGGUUUUAUGCCAUAGUAGUUAUGAUAUUUAGAACAUACAAUCCCGAUCUCUUGGACUACAGGGGUGCAAGAGUUAUGCCAUUAAUUUCUGUCAUAAUAAUUAUGAUAUUUAGAACAUGCCUCUGUUCCAAAACUGUAAACCAUAAAUAUUUAGAACAUCAACGCAUUCCACAAAUCAUGUCUCCACCUACAAAUCACACUAAACUUCACCCAAAACCGUAAAUAUGCCUCUAUUCCAGGUAUAGCCACCUCAAAACUUGUAAUCGAGGUUCCUAGAAACUUCAUACCUCUAGUCCAGGUAAUUAAACCCAUAAGCCACCUCUAGUCCAGAUAAUGAAAUCCAUAAGUUACCUCUAGUAUAGGUAAAAAUGAAACCUCCACAACAUAUAUAGUCACACCAAAGUAUAUUGAGAUGAAACUCCAUUAACAAAUGCUUUGAAAAACCUAAGAAAAAAUGCUGAAUUUAUCAAGGGUAAAAUUGCCAUAUUUGUUUCAAACUAGCAUGAUUGUAGGAGAUGCCUAAAUUUUAGGGAGGUGCUUUCAUAGACUUCCAUUUCUGGAAGUGGCAUACACUGUUAAUUCAUUAAAAAUUGUGGACAUACAUGGUGGUUGGACUACAAUUGAAAAAGUAGAGCAUGUGGACUGCCCCAUAAUUUUUCCCACUUGAAUUCAUCCCAAUCGUGUCCUACAUCACAUAUUGUGCGUCUCUAUCAACGCUUACAUACUUGCAGAGAUCCAAACCUUGAAAGUUGUCUAAUCUCUCUAGGAACCCCAAACCUCUAGACGGUGACAAACUCUCACUUUGAUUUCAUUUGAGGCUUAGCCCCUACAUAGCCUUUUUUAAGUAGGCUCACAGAGAACCCUAAUUUUGUUAGCUACCUAAAUCCUGAAGAAACUAGGAAAUCAAAAAUACCCAGAACGACCUCAAAACCCCAUGAAGAGAACAGAAAACAAGCAGCACAGUACAGUCCCCAUAAAAAUCACCUUGCCUGAAUGUAUACAAUAUUCCCACACGAAAAAAAACUGUAAACACGGGUUGAAGAACUCCAAAUUUAGAGCUGCUGCACAAGACUAACAUGAAUACUUAGGUCAAAAUUUCAUUAAAUUCUUUAUCUCUAUAGAAGUAGAGUGGCAUUGCCAUAAAGUCCACCAAGGAUAAAAAAAAUAAGUAUCUUAAGCUCUAAUAUUUGACCUAGCAAUAUCAUGGCCUAUGGAGGACUUUGAUUAUGCGAUUUUAACGUGCCAUCUUCCAAUAAAGUAAGAGUUGGGAUACCCUAUGUGUUAAUAUUGUGCUUUAGAUUUAAUCUGUUACCUCAAUUUAAUCAGUACAAGUUCUUAUUCUAUUUGCCUCAAUCGAAAAUUCGAAUUUCUGCGAGUUGGGUUUGUUGCUGUUAAUUAAUUCCCUAAGUUUUUCAAAGGUAUUAAUGACUACGACAAAUUGUAAAUCCAUGUUCUUGUAUGUUCAAGUAAUUCCAUUUCAAAAAAAAUAUUGUAAUCCUUUUUUUUUUUUUUUUUUUUUCCCAUUAUGUUGUUUUUUUGUUUCUUUACGGGGCUGACGUUUAAAAGCUUUUCAUGUAACAGAGACAGAUUAAAUUCUCUAAAUGAUGGUUCCAAUAUUUCUCAUUUUAGCUGGAGAAUGAAAACCACACCAAACUCAGUACGGAACUUGAGGAGAAGAACCGCCAGCUGAGGUACAAAUUUAUUAAAUCAUCAUGAACUUGUAAGAUAUAUGUGGCUGUUUAGCUGGUAUUGUUGUUUGAUGUUUCUGCUGGAAUUGGACUGGCUUGCAACAGGCAGAUGAAAGGUGAGGAUCUUGAAGAGCUGGAUCUGGAUGAGUUGCUGAAGUUGGAACAACUGGUGGAAGCAACCCUUGUCCGUGUGAUGGAAACUAAGGUCUGCCCCUUGUGUAUGCAGAGUAUAUUUUAAUUGCUCUGUGUUGUGAAAAGCAAAUAAACUAACAUCUAAAUGCAAAUUUCAGGAAGAACUGAUUAUGAGUGAUAUUGUGGCACUUGAGAAAAAGGUUAGAUGAUUGAUACGUACUCUGUAAAUGAAAACAAAUUUCAGCAUAAAUAAUCAGCAUAAAUAAUCAUAACAAAGUUUGGCUCUGGUUUUCUCUUGCAUGCACCAACUAUAAUUUCAGGGAACUGAGCUGGUAGAAGCCAACAAUCAGAUGGUGAUGUUAAGGGAGAGGGUAAGCAACAUAUAUAUUGUUCUUAAUAAAAGAUGGGUUGAUCCUUUUUUCUUUUUUUAAAAUAAAUAUUUUGUAUUUUUUGCAUAGCAGAUGGUGAUGUUAUCCAAAAGAAAUACUGGACCUGCGCUUAUGGAGCCAUCUGAAUCUGCUACCUCCACCAGCUGCAACAGUGCUCUCAGUCUCUCUCUUGA